rnacentral:misc_RNA from 1 species
AAGGGUAGGCCACUGAGAAGG